rnacentral:rRNA from 1 species
GACGAACGCUGGCGGCGUGCCUAAUACAUGCAAGUCGAGCGAAUCAAUAGGAGCUUGCUCCUGUUGGUUAGCGGCGGACGGGUGAGUAACACGUGGGCAACCUGCCUGUAAGACUGGGAUAACACCGGGAAACCGGUGCUAAUACCGGAUAAUCCUUUUCCUCUCAUGAGGAAAAGCUGAAAGUCGGUUUCGGCUGACACUUACAGAUGGGCCCGCGGCGCAUUAGCUAGUUGGUGAGGUAACGGCUCACCAAGGCGACGAUGCGUAGCCGACCUGAGAGGGUGAUCGGACACACUGGGACUGAGACACGGCCCAGACUCCUACGGGAGGCAGCAGUAGGGAAUCUUCCACAAUGGGCGAAAGUCUGAUGGAGCAACGCCGCGUGAGCGAUGAAGGCCUUCGGGUCGUAAAGCUCUGUUGUUAGGGAAGAACAAGUACCGGAGUAACUGCCGGUGCCUUGACGGUACCUAACCAGAAAGCCACGGCUAACUACGUGCCAGCAGCCGCAGUAACAC